UCCGGUUUAUCACCGGCAGUCUCCUUAGAGUCCCCGCCAUAACGCGUUGGUAACUAAGGACAAGGGUUGCGCUCGUUACGGGACUUAACCCAACAUCUCACAACACGAGCUGACGACAGCCAUGCAGCACCUGUCUCUGGGUUCCCGAAGGCACACUCACUAUUAUAUGAGCUUCCCAGGAUGUCAAGAGUAGGUAAGGUUCUUCGCGUAGCAUCGAAUUAAACCACAUGCUCCACCGCUUGUGCGGGCCCCCGUCAAUUCCUUUGAGUUUUAAUCUUGCGACCGUACUCCCCAGGCGGAGAACUUAUUGCGUUAGCUGCGACACUAAGCAGUUUAAACUGCCCAACAUCUAGUUCUCAUCGUUUACGGCGUGGACUAC
rnacentral:misc_RNA from 1 species